UGGUGCUUGCAUCAUGAUUUACAUUUGAGUGAGUGGCGAACUGGUGAGUAACACGUGGGAAACCUGCCCAGAAGCGGGGGAUAACACCUGGAAACAGAUGCUAAUACCGCAUAACAACUUGGACCGCAUGGUCCGAGUUUGAAAGAUGGCUUCGGCUAUCACUUUUGGAUGGUCCCGCGGCGUAUUAGCUAGAUGGUGAGGUAACGGCUCACCAUGGCAAUGAUACGUAGCCGACCUGAGAGGGUAAUCGGCCACAUUGGGACUGAGACACGGCCCAAACUCCUACGGGAGGCAGCAGUAGGGAAUCUUCCACAAUGGACGAAAGUCUGAUGGAGCAACGCCGCGUGAGUGAAGAAGGGUUUCGGCUCGUAAAACUCUGUUGUUAAAGAAGAACAUAUCUGAGAGUAACUGUUCAGGUAUUGACGGUAUUUAACCAGAAAGCCACGGCUAACUACGUGCCAGCAGCCGCGGUAAUACGUAGGUGGCAAGCGUUGUCCGGAUUUAUUGGGCGUAAAGCGAGCGCAGGCGGUUUUUUAAGUCUGAUGUGAAAGCCUUCGGCUCAACCGAAGAAGUGCAUCGGAAACUGGGAAACUUGAGUGCAGAAGAGGACAGUGGAACUCCAUGUGUAGCGGUGAAAUGCGUAGAUAUAUGGAAGAACACCAGUGGCGAAGGCGGCUGUCUGGUCUGUAACUGACGCUGAGGCUCGAAAGUAUGGGUAGCAAACAGGAUUAGAUACCCUGGUAGUCCAUACCGUAAACGAUGAAUGCUAAGUGUUUGGAGGGUUUCCGCCCUUCAGUGCUGCAGCUAACGCAUUAAGCAUUCCGCCUGGGGAGUACGGCCGCAAGGCUGAAACUCAAAGGAAUUGACGGGGGGCCCGCACAAGCGGUGGAGCAUGUGGUUUAAUUCGAAGCUACGCCGAAGAACCUUACCAGGUCUUGACAUACUAUGCAAAUCUAAGAAGAUUAGACGUUCCCUUCGGGGACAUGGAUACAGGUGGGUGCAUGGUUGUCCUCAGCUCCUGUCCUGGAAAAGUUUGGGUUAAUUCCCCCCACCAAGGGCACCCCUUAUUAUCAUUUGCCACCAUUAAAUUUGGCGACCCU
rnacentral:rRNA from 2 species